rnacentral:rRNA from 1 species
UACGUAGGGUGCAAGCGUUGUCCGGAAUUAUUGGGCGUAAAAGAGCUCGUAGGCGGUUUGUUGCGUCGGCUGUGAAAUCCCGAGGCUCAACCUCGGGUCUGCAGUCGAUACGAGCAAACUAGAGUGUUGCAGGGGAGACUGGAAUUCCUGGUGAUAGCGGUGAAAUGCGCAGAUAUCAGGAGGAACACCAGUGGCGAAGGCGGCUUUCUGGACGGUAACUGAC